ACGGCCAUACCAUGCUGAAUAUACCGGUUCUCGUUAGAUCACCGAAGUCAACAUCAUUGGGCGCGGUCAGUACGCACUAAAUGGGUGACCACCUGGGAACGCACG